rnacentral:rRNA from 1 species
AUUAGUGGCGGAACGGGUGAGUAACACGUGGGCAAUCUGCCCUUCACUCUGGGACAAGCCCUGGAAACGGGGUCUAAUACCGGAUAACACUCCUGCCUGCAUGGGCGGGGGUUAAAAGCUCCGGCGGUGAAGGAUGAGCCCGCGGCCUAUCAGCUUGUUGGUGGGGUAAUGGCCCACCAAGGCGACGACGGGUAGCCGGCCUGAGAGGGCGACCGGCCACACUGGGACUGAGACACGGCCCAGACUCCUACGGGAGGCAGCAGUGGGGAAUAUUGCACAAUGGGCGAAAGCCUGAUGCAGCGACGCCGCGUGAGGGAUGACGGCCUUCGGGUUGUAAACCUCUUUCAGCAGGGAAGAAGCGAAAGUGACGGUACCUGCAGAA